GGCACUGAUACUACCGGGCUUGAGGCGCUGAAGGGCGACUGGAACUNUCGGUGGAGCGGUGAAAUGCGUAGAUAUCGAGAGGAACGUCAAUGGUGAAGACAGGUCGCUGGUGGCGUCCUGACGCUGAGGCCUGAAAGCUAGGGGAGCAAACGGGAUUAGAUACCCCGGUAGUCCUAGCCCUAAACGAUGCACACUAGGUGGGGGAGGCUCUGACGGCCAUCCCUGCCGCAGGGAAACCGGUAAGUGUGCCGCCUGGGAAGUACGGUCGCAAGGCUAAAACUCAAAGGAAUUGACGGGGGCUCACACAAGCGGUGGAGCAUGUGGCUCAAUUCGAGGCAACGCGAAGAACCUUAUCCUAGGCUUGACAUGGAGGUAGUAGAACCCCGAAAGGGGAACGACUGGUUCAGUCCAGAGCCUACACAGGUGCUGCAUGGCUGUCGUCAGCUCGUGCUGUGAAGUGUCGGGUUAAGUCCCUUAACGAGCGAAACCCUUACCCCUAGUUGCCAGCGGGUCAUGCCGGGGACUCUAGGGGGACUGCCACGGUGAACGUGGAGGAAGGUGGGGAUGACGUCAAGUCCUCAUGGCCUUUAUGCCUAGGGCUGCACACGUGCUACAAUGGCGUUUACAGAGGGAAGCGAGGCCGCGAGGCGGAGCCAAUCCCUAAAAAAACGUCUCAGUCCGGAUUGCAGGCUGCAACCCGUCUGCAUGAAGUUGGAAUCGCUAGUAAUCGCGGAUCAGCUACGCCGCGGUGAAUGUGUUCCUGAGCCUUGUACACACCGCCCGUCAAGCCACCGAAGCUGGGAGUACCCGAAGUCGCGUGACUCAACCCGCAAGGGAGAGAGGCGCCGACGGA
rnacentral:rRNA from 1 species